rnacentral:rRNA from 1 species
GGACUACUGGGGUUUCUAAUCCUGUUUGCUCCCCACGCUUUCGUGCCUCAACGUCAGGAAUGAGCCAAAGAGCUGCCUUCGCCAUCGAUGUUCCUUCCGAGAUCUACGCAUUUUACCGCUACUCCGGAAAUUCCACUCUUCUCUCUCAUCCUCUAGUAUGCCAGUUCUCAUUGCAUGCCCCCAGUUAGGCCGGGGAAUUUAACAACAAGCUUAACAAACCGUCUACGCACCCUUUACGCCCAGUUAUUCCGAAUAACGUUUGCACCCCUCGUAUUACCGCGGCUGCUGGCAC